rnacentral:rRNA from 1 species
GAUGAACGCUGGCGGCGUGCCUAAUACAUGCAAGUCGAGCGAACGGACGAGAAGCUUGCUUCUCUGAUGUUAGCGGCGGACGGGUGAGUAACACGUGGAUAACCUACCUAUCAGACUGGGAUAACUUCGGGAAACCGGAGCUAGUACCGGAUAAUAUUUUGAACCGCAUGGUUCAAAAGUGAAAGACGGUCUUGCUGUCACUUCUAGAUGGAUCCGCGCUGCAUUAGCUAGUUGGUAAGGUAACGGCUUACCAAGGCAACGAUGCAUAGCCGACCUGAGAGGGUGAUCGGCCACACUGGAACUGAGACACGGUCCAGACUCCUACGGGAGGCAGCAGUAGGGAAUCUUCCGCAAUGGGCGAAAGCCUGACGGAGCAACGCCGCGUGAGUGAUGAAGGUCUUCGGAUCGUAAAACUCUGUUAUUAGGGAAGAACAUAUGUGUAAGUAACUGUGCACAUCUUGACGGUACCUAAUCAGAAAGCCACGGCUAACUACGUG